AUGAUACCAUAUUGCAUUGUGUUUUAUUGUUUUUAUACAAAUACUCAUUUUGAAAUUUUUAUUGAUCACGAGGUUGGAAUGGAGAGCUAUGUCAACACUCAAACACCAAGGACAAAGCAGUCAGUAAUGUUUUUCUAUUCUUUUUUAGUUUUUACAAGAGCAAUGUUAUUAGACUUUUUGAAUUUGUUUUUAUGCUUCGUUUUGUGUUUUAUCGUAAAUGUUACAGAUAAUAAGAGUCGUUGUCGAUUUUUUUUAUCUAAUAAAGAAAGAGUGAAAAGAACAGGAAAGACCUUCGAAAUUUUCGAGUUCGGGUGUAGAUUAUGA